GGAAGGGUGGCCGAGUGGUUUAAGGCACCGGUCUUGAAAACCGGCGUGGGUGCAAGCCCACCGUGAGUUCGAAUCUCACCCCUUCCG
rnacentral:tRNA from 1 species